UGAUAUAAAUGACUAAAAUUUCAUCGAUGUUAAAAAGUAAAUCUGAAUUUUACUGAUCCUUUCCGCCGUUCUGUGAGGUAUUGAAUGAGUGUUGGAUUAAUUAAUAUCAAGAACAUAAUUAUAAACGUUUUAAGGUAUGUGUCAAUAGUUUUAAACUAGUCAUUUACAAAUCAUUACAGAGUUUGUGCUUUUUACAACCGUAUCGAUUAAAAACUGAUAGGAGUGGCGCAAACGUAUUUAUUUUACAAGAUAGAACAAAGCAUUUUAACUGUACUCGUAUAUUGUAAAUGGCAAUGACACAAAGAAGUUGAUAAGUUGUGAAACUUUCGGGUUUAUUAUACUCAAUGCUGGCAAAACGUUGAAAUGAAUGUGCCUUUUUUAUUACUCAUGGCGACGUACUUAGCCGAAGGGACUGUCAAGAUAGCUUUACCUUAAAGUAAACCUCGCACCAAUGAGUCAUUCACUUUAACCUGCUCCACGACUGAGAAAGAAUCUAUAUCUUGGUUAAAAAAUAAUGAAUUUCUGUCAACAUGCCCAACUGCGACCCCUGGCUGCUAUCCAAAUACUACCAAAGGUUAUCAGUUUUCAUCAGAAGUUGAAUCAAAAACGUUUGAUCUCAAUAUAACAAAUGUAUCCAUGGAUUCCUGUGGAGUAUUCAAGUGUACGGAUAUAUCUGAACACCAGGAUAGCGUGAUAUUAACAGUUAUACACUUCAAAGCAGACAAUUCUUCUCUCCACAUAACGGAACCAAGUUUGGCUUCGGAUGGAAAUAUAACCGUUAUAACAGAUUGUUUGUUUCCUAACAGUGUAUCUGUUAAAUGGUCAACAGUCAAGGACGGUGAAGUUAUAGCCGAUAUCGAAUCAUCAACUUAUAGUGUAGAACAUUGUUCCACCAGCUGCUCAGGGUCACCUGCGGUUAAAAUUCAAACAUUUAUAGUUCACAACGAAACCAAAGGGAAGUCAAUAACUGUUUCAUAUAACCUUGUUAUACAGCAUAUGGACGUAAAGGAACCAAUAAUCUGGACCUCAGAGCAAAGAUACAAAAUCAUAGAUACGGAUGAACAGACGCCAUCAGAAACAAAGUUAAGUGCUGGAGCAAUUGCUGGUAUAGUGAUUGGUGUUAUCGCUCUAUUAGCUCUGUUAGGAGGUGCCGCAAUCUUUAUAUGGUUUAAACGACGAUAGAAGAGAAAGGCAAGACGGCGCAUAUCACUGGAUAUGGAUCGGUAUCCGAGAUCAUACAUACCAUCGAUGGACAAUGCUCGAGACUGGUCUAAAGAGGGUUGGUAAAGUAGCUGUACAGACGAGUAUAGUUAAACACCACUGAACUCUCGACUUGGACGGAAUACCAUUUAGUGAAAUUAAAGUAAAAAAGGGUGAACUGCCAAAAACUGUUAGUUAUGCUCAGGCUUUUUAUUUCUUUGAUAAAAUGUUUUAUGUGUUUCUCUUACUGAAAAAAGCGAAUCAUAAGAUCACAACUUUAAGGUUGUGAAUUUUAUGGCAUCAUAAUCAACUUAUUGAACACUGAUUGAAACAUUAUUAGGGGUGUGAGGAAGGCCCCCCAAAAUACAACCGCGCUUAGAAAUGGUUUAUUUUCACUUAAAAUGUUUUUUACCAAUGUCAUUAAUAAUUGUUAUCGAAAGAAACAUUUUAAAGGGACACUCAAUAUUUAUAGACGCAUACGUUUAACUCCAUUUACAUGUGCAUCUAACAGCUGUACAGAACAACAACAACAACAAAAAAACAACAACAAUAACUUAAUUUGGAAACCUAAUGGCUGACUAAAACAUUAAAUAUGUAAGUUGG